rnacentral:rRNA from 1 species
UACGUAGGUGACAAGCGUUGUCCGGAUUUACUGGGUGUAAAGGGCGCGUAGGCGGGAUAGCAAGUCAGUCGUGAAAUGCCGAGGCUUAACCUCGGAGCUGCGAUUGAAACUGUUAUUCUUGAGUAUCGGAGAGGAAAGCGGAAUUCCUAGUGUAGCGGUGAAAUGCGUAGAUAUUAGGAGGAACACCAGUGGCGAAGGCGGCCUUCUGGACGACAACUGACGCUGAGGCGCGAAAGUGUGGGGAGCAAACAGG